rnacentral:rRNA from 1 species
UACGGGGGGGAGCAAGCGUUUGUUCGGAUUUACUGGGCGUAAAGGGCGCGUAGGCGGUCAGCACAAGUCAGUUGUGAAAUCUCCGGGCUUAACUCGGAAAGGUCAACUGAUACUGUGCGACUAGAGUGCGGAAGGGGCAACUGGAAUUCCUGGUGUAGCGGUGGAAUGCGCAGAUAUCAGGAGGAACACCGGUGGCGAAGGCGGCAUCCUGGACCAACACUGACGCUGAGGAGCGAAAGCCAGGGGAGCAAACGGG